GGUUGUAUGGUGUAGUGGUUAGCACAUGAGAUUCUGAUUCUCGGGACCUGGGUUCGAUUCCCAGUACGACCU
rnacentral:tRNA from 1 species